CCUAGAGCUCCAAAAUACCCUUACAUACAAGAACCCUACAACAUUGAAUCGCGUCAAAAGAUACCCAACAAGUUACAUGUCAAACCGAUAGUCCAGUCAUGCAGGUCUCCAACAGAGCUAUAAGCAAAAUCUAGCUUGAAUUCACUACACACACUCACACUCAACAAGUUACAUGUCAAACCGAUAGUCCAGUCAUGCAGGUCUCCAACAGAGCUAUAAGCAAAAUCCAGCUUGAAUUCACUACACACACUCACACUUCACAUGAUUGAAUGCUGACUGACUAGACAUUAAGAUGCUACUAAGCAAGCAUAUACAUAUUAUAUAUAUAUAUAUAUACGUACGCGUGUGUAUGUGUGUGUGUAUAUUUAUAUGUGCCAAAAAAUGCUAACAGUUUUGAUCUCAUUGAAC
rnacentral:lncRNA from 1 species